CAUGCACUGGCCACCCAACAUUCGGAGCUUUCUCUUGGAAGACUCCCCUGGGAUGCACUCAGAGAUCUCCCUCUCCACAUGAUUGUCACUCUCUUGACCCCAUUUACACUCUGCUGGGCCCCCCUUCCUUAGGACAUGGUGUGUCAUAAUCCACAACAAUGCCCAGAAGCUGAUCCGACUCUGUGACCCGCUACAGAAAGGGAAGGAUGCUGCCUUCUCCCUUGGACAGUGUCUCUAGCACCUCCACACCCAGGAAGAACCUGCUGGUGAUGCCUCCUGGGCCCAGAGACACAGAGAGGAGCUGGUGGAGGGCUGCAGGCUGGCCAAACACCUUGUCCUCCAGCUCCACGCAGCAAACUGGAAACAAGACAGAUGAGGACGAGAAAGAGCCACUUUACCAAAUGGACGAUCGGAGCAGCAAUUUCAACCUCCUGAUUCAGUUUCAAGCCCGAGAGCUGACCCAGUUAAGGAAGAAGUUGGAAGAAGGAAGAAAUGUCACAUUCAUCCUCCACAAAAAUCUCAAAGACCUGAUCACUGAGAAUGACUUGGAUGAACCCCAAGGGCAGAGCCUCCUACAGCUGGCAGAGUGGUACAAGCUGGCUGAGAGCCUGAGCCUCAAUCUCGGCCCAGAGCAGCACUGUGAUGGGGAUGAUGAGGAAGAAACAGAGUCCCUGGACUCCAGUGGUGAGCAGCAGGAUGGGAAAGUGGAUGAACUCCUGUCAGAUUCAGUAGAAGAACACUGCCCCCUCGCUUCUGGGCAUCCUGAUGCACCUUACCAAUGGCAACAUCACAUCCGCGCUGCCGGCCUGCAGAGGAGCCUGAAGCAAGUUCUGUGCCCGAUGGAACCAAACCUGAAGGCAUCCGCAAACCACAGGAGGAGCAGGCAACUGAGCUGCGCAGGUGAGUGUGAAAGUCAGGGCCUGUGAACGCAGUGGUGACACCUGAGCUCCAAGGUGCAGGGAAGCAGGAAGUGCUCUGUAUUUCUACCGCCUCCCUGCACCAGCCGGGAGUGGGCAUUCUGUUCUUGGUGCUGCUUCCUUCAGUUCCCCCCUUCAUUUCUUCUCAUGUUUACUCAGCCAGCGUCCCUCUGCCCCAAGGGGCAGUAACGUGAGGUUUUCCUGUGCUCAGGAGAAGGAUAGGCUCUCCUGUGGGAGGCUGUGGGGAGGAGAUGCUCCCCUCUUGCUGCAAGGUUCGCCUUGCUUGGCUGGGAUUCCAUAGCUAGAAAUGGAACCAGGGCAAAAAGAGGUGGUGUGAGAUCCCAGUCCUGAAAGGACAGCCCUGGGCCCAUGGUCUCUUUCCCUCAGCAGAGCCUCACACCUCCUGAGCGCACCUAAGCUCCCAGCCAGGCGCCCACAAAGUAUGUGUUCAAAGCAUGGUGCUUCCUUUGCUUGAGCGCCUUGUCUGGCGCAUUGCUGUCGUCACUUUCUUUGGUUACUCACCCAGCAUGCCCUCUCUCCCUUAGGACCUGCUGCGUCAUCAUUCCUGAGCAUGCCCAAAAGCUGAGUUCUCGUUAUAAAUGGUACCUUCUCUCCUCCCUUAGGGAUUUCAGUUCUGUGAUGGAACUUCUGGCCCAGAUGUCGACCAACUUGGGGGAAACUUUCCACAGUUAGAAGGAUAUCAUCUUCUUCCUCUGUCACAGCAUUAGGAACCUGCGGUCCCGGGAUGGCCCUGUGAGACAAGAGGGGCAGAGUCACCGAGACCAUGCUGAGAGGCACAAGAUGACUGAGCCCCUCGCCCUCCAGCCCUGCCCAGGUGAGGUGACCACUGGGCCUGGUCAGC
rnacentral:lncRNA from 1 species